CGUAGGGUGCUAGCGUUGUUCGGAAUCAUUGGGCGUAAAGCGCGUGUAGGCGGUUAGUUAAGUCAGAUGUGAAAUCCCUGGGCUCAACCGAGGAAGUGCAUUUGAAACUAAUUAGCUAGAGAGUGGUAGAGGAAGGUGGAAUUCCGUGUGUAGAGGUGAAAUUCGUAGAUAUACGGAGGAAUACCGGUGGCGAAGGCGGCCUUCUGGACCAUUUCUGACGCUGAGACGCGAAAGCGUGGGGAGCAAACAGGAUUAGAUACCCUGGUAGUCCACGCCGUAAACGAUGGGUACUAGAUGUUGCGGGAAUUGACCCCUGCAGUGUCGACGCUAACGCAUUAAGUACCCCGCCUGGGAAGUACGGCCGCAAGGUUA
rnacentral:rRNA from 1 species